UUUACCAAUCACAAGGGCUAGGAGGUGUGUUUCAGGCUUUCGGCAAGCACAACAAACAGAAACGGGGAAGCGCUGUCGCUUCCGCUGCAACAGGUACCACCACACUACUGAACUGCGAAUCCUACAUCACUCAUCCACCAGAAACAUAGCUGAGGAAGAUAAUCAGGUCUACUAGCAUUCCAGACACUACACGGACUGCUCCAGAGCAGGCGGAGCCGCAACAGAACCAACAGAAGCAGAGUUUUCCGUCUCAGUGGGCAGCUCUUCAGUAUACUCCCAGCUGCGGGAUCUCCGGCUCGUCUCUCAGCUCAAACG
rnacentral:lncRNA from 1 species